GCGGUAGAAGGGGUUUGGAUAACAGAGUGGACUAACCGAGUCACGGGAGUCAGGGUCUCUGUUGGAAUGAAAAGCCUGUGAGUGAUCCAGAGAUGUCUAUUAUCCGGCAGACAAAAAAGAACUGAGGAGGAGGGUGUGCAUGUGACCAAGGUGUAUGGAGGGGGUGGAGCCUAACUACCUAGCUGAAGGCAGAAAGAGAGAGAGAGAAGCUUGUGAGGGUUCCGGAUGCUUCUGUACGCUGGCAUAGAAGCCCAUCUGUGUGAUGGACAGAGACCACUUAGAAGAACUAAUAUUUUCUCGCCAGAAUGCUGAGGAGAUUACUAGAUCUACAUUUGCCAAAUAGAUUGAUAACUUUUUUAAAGCAUGGGCAACACUGAGAGUUUGAGCUUGGAGUGGGGGAUACAUAUGGUAAUACAAUAAGAAUUAAUGCAGAUACUUAAA